rnacentral:ncRNA from 1 species
AUAAUUGCGAUGACGAGAAGAGUAGAUAAAUUUUAUUCUUUACAGAGAGCUCCGGGUGCUGAAAAGGAGUAAGGAUGUUUUAUUGAACCAAGCCUCUAAGCAGCACAAAGGAACUUAAUUGGAGGGAUAUUGUGACAGGUGCUCCUGUUUUAGAGCUAGGGUAUAAGUAAACUGUACCUGAAGAGGUUAAUAUGGUGACAUAUUAACAAACUGGGGUGGUACCACGAAAUAUAAUCUCGUCCCCAAG